AUUGAAACACUGGUUCUUGUACCAUCACCAAAGUUAAGCAACAUUGAGCCUGGUCAGUACCUAGAUGGGUGACAGCUUAGGAAUACCAGGUGCAGUAAG